rnacentral:lncRNA from 1 species
GGGUGUUGGUUUUCUGCAGAGGCCCAGUCAGAUUCGGCCAGGAGCAAGAUGUGGACAGGAGUUGUGGGGAUUGUCCUGGGCCUGGUAUUUCUGGCCGCCGGAUUCACUUUCUAUCUGCACAGUAAGAAAGCAUAUGCUGUUGCUCAGCCGGCAGGACUCCGCAGUUAAGCUUCUCAGCCACAGACAUGUCCCACCAUGGGAAAGGACCUGCUUCCUCCCUCUCGCAGCUGCUUCUUUCUUGCUCCGAG